rnacentral:tRNA from 1 species
UUGGAUGGGUAGAGACUUUUCUUGCACUAAAGUUGUUGGUACCAACCAUUUAAU